UGUGAAAGAAUGAAAGAAUUCUAUGACAAGAAUUAAAGAUUAAAACUUUAUAUAUUUUUUUUAUACUUUACAAUGGAUUGAAAUUAAAAUCUAACCAAACUCAAACUUAAUACUCGCGAAAUGAUUAAAUACAAGGAAAAGGAUAAAGGAUAAAUUUAAAAAAUAAUAAUGAGUAUACCAAUCUCUGAAAUAUAUAUAUAUUUUUUUUAAAAAGAAGAUAAAAUGAGCUGAAGAUAGUGUAAGAGAAGUUAGAAUAGAGA